rnacentral:rRNA from 1 species
ACAUUGUAUCGAAGCAUCCAGAGAUGGAUGUGUCGUCUUCGGAGACGGUAUGACAGGUGCUGCAUGGCUGUCGUCAGCUCGUGCCGUGAGGUGUUCGGGUUAAGUCCCGCAACGAGCCGCAACCCCUAUCUUUAGUUGCCAUCAGUUCGGCUGGGCACUCUAUGGAGACUGCCACCUAAAGUGGAGGAAGGUGGGGAUGACGCCAAGUCAGCAUGGCCCUUACGUCCGGGGCUACACACGUGCUACAAUGGCCGGUACAAAGGGUUGCGAAGCCGUGAGGUGGAGCGAAUCUCAAAAAGCCGGCCUCAGUUCGGAUUGGAGGCUGCAACUCGCCUCCAUGAAGUCGGAAUCGCUAGUAACCGCAGAUCAGCUACGUUGCGGUGAAUACGUUCCCGGGCCUU